rnacentral:misc_RNA from 1 species
GAUGACGAACGCAGCGAAAUGCGAUACUUGGUGUGAAUUGCAGAAUCCCGUGAACCAUCGAGUCUUUGAACGCAAGUUGCGCCCGAAGCCAUUAGGCCGAGGGCACGCCUGCCUGGGCGUCACACGUCGUUGCCCCCCCAUCUACUCCUUCGGGAUUGCGGGGGGCGGAUGAUGGCCUCUCGUGCGCCUCGUCGCGCGGUUGGCCUAAAUGCCAAGUCCUCGGCGACGCACGCCACGACAAUCGGUGGUUGCGAAACCUCGGUUGCCUGUCGUGUGCGGUCGUCGCGCAUCGAGGGCUCGAAAAAAUUGCCGGGCUUCGGCUCGACUUUCAACGCGACCCCAGGUCAGGCGGGGUUACCCGCUGAAUUUAAGCAUAUCAAUAAGCGGAGGA